AAAGAUCUGGAUGUGUUCGACCUGAAGAAAUAUUCUGCUUCAGAGGAGGCUCUUCUAAAGCUGCUGCCAGUGGUGAAAGCCUCUAACAAAGCCCUACUGUCUGGCUGUAACCUCUCAGAGAGAAGCUGUGAAGCUCUGCGCUCAGUUCUCAUUUCUAAGUGUUUUAGUCUGGGAGAACUGGACCUGAGUAACAAUGACCUGCAAGACUCAGGAGUAAAACUUCUAUCUGCUGGACUGAAGAGUCCAAACUCUUCACUGAAAUCUCUCAGUCUGUCAGGCUGUCUGAUCACAGAGGAAGGCUGUACUUCUCUG